rnacentral:rRNA from 1 species
ACGGAAGGCAGCAGUGGGGAAUAUUGCACAAUGGGGGAAACCCUGAUGCAGCGACGCCGCGUGAAGGAAGGAGUAUUUCGGUAUGUAAACUUCUAUCAGCAGGGAAGAAGGUGACGGUACCUGACUAAGAAGCCCCGGCUAACUACGUGCCAGCAGCCGCGGUAAUACGUAGGGGGCAAGCGUUAUCCGGAUUUACUGGGUGUAAAGGGAGCGUAGGCGGCUUUGCAAGUCAGAAGUGAAAGCCCGGGGCUCAACUCCGGGACUGCUUUUGAAACUGCAGAGCUAGAUUGCAGGAGAGGUAAGUGGAAUUCCUAGUGUAGCGGUGAGAUGCGUAGAUAUUAGGAGGAACACCAGUGGCGAAGGCGGCUUACUGGACUGUAAAUGACGCUGAGGCUCGAAAGCGUGGGGAGCAAACAGAAUUAGAUACCCUGGUA